GUGACCGCGCUGACACUAGGUGGGGCCAUCGGCCAGGGGGACCGAGCCGGGACGGGGAGAGGAGCCCGGGGUCACAGCGUCGCGUUCUCUCCUGUCCCCGUCCCAAAUGAAAUAUCGCUCCUUAGCCCUUAUAAAUCCACCCAGUAUUCGGCUGAAACAGCGCCAGACUGCCUUAUUUUAUGUGAAGACGAGGCCAUGUUUUGAUGUCUAGGUCAUGUUGUGCAAGACAGCGUUUACUUUAGGUCUCAAAGUGUGUAAAAACACUGGAGGUGUGGUGCUGUGAAGGAGGUGAGGAACCAGACUAGAGCCACUACCAGCAGGAUGGUGGUGAUUGUACUGCCUGUUGCCACACCCAACACCACAGUUAUUUCUCCUAUUGCUAGCCCAAUGGGACAACAGAAAAAGUGGAAGUCUGUUAAAACAGCACAGAGCAAUGGUGGCCAAAUCAGGAAAUAUAUGAAUGUCAGACAAUAAUUUGACAGGAAGAGGAGUGAGGCAUGAGCACAGCCAGACAGGGAGACCAGCCCCUUUCACCUCCUGACUCCUGGUAUAGAUCACACUGUUCCCUUUUCAAGGCAAUGGCAAUGUGGGCAUAGACUCUGAUAGCUCAGGCUUAGGCAUGGGAAAGCAUCACUCCCCAGAAGCCAUUGAAGGUCAGAAAUUAUCCCUUCCCUCCUCCCUCUCUGAUUAUGUGUUUCAAAGUUCUGCAAAACAACCCCAAAUCCAGCCCAAUUCCCACUCGUUCACAAGGCCUGCAGUGAUUGAUGCCUGUAUUGGGUUCAUCCAACAUAGGUGAGAAUAGCAGAAGGAGGUAUGUGUGAGUGAGCAGAACUAAUCCCCUCUUUCUUUGAAGCCUUAGAAAUAUUAUUACCUACUCUUCAUUGUAUUUAUAUUUUGGGGAAACAUUCAAAACAAAUUAACUUCUCCCCCACAACCCUUUGUCCCUGAUAAUUAACUAUUUGUCAAUAGAGAUAAAAGAAGAAAAAUGCAUGUGGCCAAAUGUUCCUUUUGUUUAUACCUCUGCAGACUAUUAGAAAAAAAAAAGCAACUACGGGAGAAAGAGCAAGGAAGAAAAUUCAUAACUUACACAUAGUUGACCAUAACUUUACUAGGGACUAAGCCACAUAGUCUAAAAUGUAAUAGCUGGCCUGUGAGUUGGGCCAAAUCUAUGAAGGGUAUUAAAGUUUCCUGAAAAGGGUUUUGCAGUAAGUGUGGAGCCAUGCAGAAUAAUUUUCUGUAGUUUAGGAGCUGUUCUUCUUGAGAAAAUGUUGCUUUUCAAUAUGUAUAAUAUGUAGCUGUUCUAAACAUUAAGCACUGCCCUCACUUUGCUAAGGCAAAAGGUAGGUUGAAGGUGAAAACCCACUGAUUUCUGUUACCAUGGAAGCUGUCAGUUGUGCAACAUGAACAGCUUUGAGCACUCUCCUGUUCCUAGUCAGUGAGUCAAGAGAUUAACAUGCAGAGGCUGAGAAACAGAAACCUACAUUUUCAUUGCAGCACUCCCUCAGGUACAAUACUCCAUCAGGAGUGCUUCUGCACUCCUUGUCACAUCGGUCAUGUAGCCCUUAUAAAUGACAAAAACAUCAACAUUUGACAGGUAGCAAGGAAGUAUGUCUCUCUGUAUUUCUGAGUAUUUCAAUGUCUCUUUUAUAUUUUUCUGUAUAUAGUGAAUUUUAUCUCACUCUUUCUGGUUUAUAUUCACUGUGACAAGAACGAAUCUCAGCAAUGUGCAGGCAAGGCAGAGGGACUAUGUUCCAAAGAAAGAUGUUUCCGAAAGUGGGUUUGAGCUUCGCUGCAUGCAACAGAGAGGGAAAGUUUCUGUCAGCUACCACAAGUGCCUUCACCAUCAUGUUGCUGCCACACUGCUCACUCUCACACUGCCUUUCUUCUGUGACACAUACCCACUCCUGAGGGGGCUGCAGCCCCCAAGCUGAGAUGUGUACUGCUGGCAGACGUGUCAGAUGUGCUCACCUUCCUUGGAGAGAGCAGCUGCUCCUGAGCCUGCACACCUCCC